AUACCUCAACUCUCAUGCUUUGCCAUGAUGAGCUUGGAAUUUUGGGGGUUUUGCUGGCCUGUGGUCAGCUCCUCUCAAAUGAAUCAGCUUGCCAGUGUUUGGUGACAUCAUGGGUGUGAUAAAUAUCUACAUCUGUGGUUGCCUGCCAGAUGACAUCCAGCAAUGGAGGUUCACUGGGGCUUAUAAGUGUCUCUCCUCAGCGAGGACAGCAUUUUGAA
rnacentral:misc_RNA from 1 species